rnacentral:rRNA from 1 species
ACGGGAGGCAGCAGUGGGGGAUAUUGCACAAUGGGCGCAAGCCUGAUGCAGCAACGCCGCGUGAGGGAAGACGGUUUUCGGAUUGUAAACCUCUGUCUUUGGUGACGAAGAAGUGACGGUAGCCAAGGAGGAAGCCACGGCCAACUACGUGCCAGCAGCCGCGGUAAUACGUAGGUGGCAAGCGUUACCCGGAAUUACUGGGUGUAAAGGGAGCGCAGGCGGGAUAGCAAGUCAGCGGUGAAAAUUAUGGGCUCAACCCAUAAACUGCCGUUGAAACUGUUAUUCUUGAGUGGAGUAGAGGCAGGCGGAAUUCCGAGUGUAGCGGUGAAAUGCGUAGAUAUUCGGAGGAACACCAGUGGCGAAGGCGGCCUGCUGGGCUCUAACUGACGCUGAGGCUCGAAAGUGUGGGGAGCAAACAGGAUUAGAUACCCUGGUA